GCCUGGGUGGUUCAGUCAGUUGAGCGUCCGACUUCAACUUGGGUCAUGAUCUCAGUUCAAGGGUUCGAAUCCCUCAUCAGGCU
rnacentral:tRNA from 1 species